AGAGCACUCAGCACAUUGCCUUGUAUAAAGAAGGCUACACACAUGCUCAGGAGAGAUCAAAAUUGGCACACUUAAAGGUGAAAAGAAAUGGCUUUAAAUGGUGACUUCAAUCCAACGAAAGAAAUAAAGAGCACUUCUAUAGUUUUGUAUGUUGAGCCCUGGUAUACAUGAAAUGAAGAGGUGAACCAUAGAUUUAUCAUAUGACCUGACCUGUCAAUUCCAUUUGCUGCCAACCAACCAGAGUUCCUGCCUGCAAGUAUCCAGUGAGCAUAAUUCCUACCCAACUUAAAGUCUUCUGUAUUAUAUCUUUUU